rnacentral:rRNA from 1 species
UACGGGGGGGGCAAGCGUUGUUCGGAAUUACUGGGCGUAAAGGGCUCGUAGGCGGCCAACUAAGUCAGACGUGAAAUCCCUCGGCUUAACCGGGGAACUGCGUCUGAUACUGGAUGGCUAGAGUUUGGGAGAGGGAUGCGGAAUUCCAGGUGUAGCGGUGAAAUGCGUAGAUAUCUGGAGGAACACCGGUGGCGAAGGCGGCAUCCUGGACCAAUACUGACACUGAAAAGCGAAAGCCAGGGGAGCAAACGGG